UCCUCAGUGGUCCAGUGGUUAAGACUCUGCACUUCCAGUGCAGGGGGCAUGGGUUCGAUCCCUAGUUGGGGAA